rfam:Beta vulgaris subsp. vulgaris chromosome 5, whole genome shotgun sequence.
AGAUUAUGGUGUGUGGAUUCUCUUUACAGAUCCUUGAACCUAUUCCAUGCUUCUUUCAGUGUUUCAUCGGGUUCUUGUUGAAAGGUAGAAAGCUUAUGUAUUAUUUC